rnacentral:rRNA from 1 species
UACGUAGGGUGCGAGCGUUGUCCGGAAUUAUUGGGCGUAAAGAGCUCGUAGGCGGUGUGUCGCGUCGGGAGUGAAAUCCACUGGCUUAACUGGUGGCUUGCUUUCGAUACGGGCAGACUGGAGGUAUGCAGGGGAGAACGGAAUUCCUGGUGUAGCGGUGAAAUGCGCAGAUAUCAGGAGGAACACCGGUGGCGAAGGCGGUUCUCUGGGCAUGUCCUGACGCUGAGGAGCGAAAGUGUGGGGAGCGAACAGG